GACGAACGCUGGCGGCGUGCCUAAUACAUGCAAGUCGAGCGAGCGGCGGACGGGUGAGUAAUGUAUGGGGACUGCCCGAUAGAGGGGGAUAACUACUGGAAACGGUGGCUAAUACCGCAUACUAUCGGAUAACCCAUAUGGGAUUAGCUAGUAGGUGGGGUAAAGGCUCACUUAGGCGACGAUCUCUAGCUGGUCUGAGAGGAUGACCAGCCACACGGGGACUGAGACACGUCCCCGACUCCUACGGAGGCAGCAGUGGGGAUGAUUGCACAAUGGGCGCAAGCCUGAUUCAGCCAUGCCGCGUGUAUGAAGAAGGCCGUAGGGUUGUAAAGUACUUUCAGCGGGGAGGCGUUACCCGCAGAAGAAGCACCGGCUAACUCCGUGCCAGCAGCCGCGGUAAUAC
rnacentral:rRNA from 1 species